rnacentral:rRNA from 1 species
UACGUAGGGUGCGAGCGUUGUCCGGAAUUACUGGGCGUAAAGAGCUCGUAGGUGGUUUGUCGCGUUGUUCGUGAAAACUCACAGCUUAACUGUGGGCGUGCGGGCGAUACGGGCAGACUGGAGUACUGCAGGGGAGACUGGAAGUUCCUGGUGUAGCGGUGGAAUGCGCAGAUAUCAGGAGGAACACCGGUGGCGAAGGCGGGUCUCUGGGCAGUAACUGACGCUGGAGGAGCGAAAAGCCGUGGGGGAGCGAACAGG